AAUUCUCAGGAUUUGUGCAAUCUGGAUGCUGUGUGGAGAUCUGAAAUUUUGUAUAAUGUUAUUAUAAUUUGUAAGUAUGUAACUAUGUAAUUUUCCCUUUUUCUUUUUCUUACUUUUUCCACUUGAGAUGAAGCAAAAGUAUAGUAGCUCUGCUGCUUUUAAGCAUAGUAGUCUUUUUAUGUAAAACUAUGUUUGGAGUAUACUAUAGUAAAAAAUAUUGGAGCAAAAGUAACUGUAGUAGUACAAUUUUCCACUGUAUGUAACUCUUUUUACUUCCUUUUUCCACUUAAGAAAGGUUGAUUGCCAAGCUGUUCAUUUAGAAACUGUCUUUUUAUUUUGUUAGUUGUAAGUGGCAUCUUUUCGUACCUUUGCUCGCCGGUUAUUUUACGUUAGCUGAUACGUUCGUUUUAAUUCAUGUGAACCUAUUUGAUUGGAUACGAAAUUUAAGAAAAAAAAAAUAAUUUUUGAAUUUGUGAUAUAAAAUGAGUUACAUAUAUUUGGUAUGGCUAU
rnacentral:lncRNA from 1 species